AGCUUUGUGCAAUGGCAGCCAAUGAGGUUUACCUGAGGUGUGAUUAUUGCUAAUGGAAAACUCUUCUCAGUACCCUGCCAUGAUGUCUUGAAACAUAGUCAGCAUUGGCAAUUUUUGACAGUCUCUCCAGAGA
ensembl:snRNA U4 U4 spliceosomal RNA